rnacentral:rRNA from 1 species
GACGGAGGAUGCAAGUGUUAUCCGGAAUCACUGGGCGUAAAGCGUCUGUAGGUGGUUCGAAAAGUCCACUGUUAAAGAUUGAGGCUUAACUUCAAAAAUGCCGUGGAAACUUUCAGACUAGAGUGAUGUAGGGGAGACUGGAAUUCCUGGUGUAGCGGUGAAAUGCGCAGAUAUCAGGAGGAACACCGGUGGCGAAGGCGGGUCUCUGGGCCGUAACUGACGCUGAGGAGCGAAAGCGUGGGGAGCGAACAGG